UACGGGGGGAGCAAGCGUUGUUCGGAUUUACUGGGCGUAAAUGGCGCGUAGGCGGCCUGUGCAAGUCAGUUGUGAAAUCUCCGAGCUUAACUCGGAACGGUCAACUGAUACUGCUCGGCUAGAGUGCGGAAGGGGCAACUGGAAUUCUUGGUGUAGCGGUGAAAUGCGUAGAUAUCAAGAGGAACACCUGCGGCGAAGGCGGGUUGCUGGGCCGACACUGACGCUGAGGCGCGAAAGCUAGGGGAGCGAACGGG
rnacentral:rRNA from 1 species